rnacentral:rRNA from 1 species
UACAGAGGAUGCAAGCGUUAUCCGGAAUGAUUGGGCGUAAAGCGUCUGUAGGUGGCUUUUUAAGUCCGCCGUCAAAUCCCAGGGCUCAACUCUGGACAGGCGGUGGAAACUACCAAGCUGGAGUACGGUAGGGGCAGAGGGAAUUUCCGGUGGAGCGGUGAAAUGCGUAGAGAUCGGAAAGAACACCGGUGGCGAAGGCGGGUCUCUGGGCCGAUACUGACGCUGAGGCGCGAAAGCGUGGGGAGCAAACAGG